rnacentral:rRNA from 1 species
GGCGGCGUGCCUAACACAUGCAAGUCGAACGGAGAACUCAAAAAGCUUGCUUUGAGAGUUCUUAGUGGCGGACGGGUGAGUAACGCGUGGGCAACCUCCCCCUUAAACCGGGACAACCCUUGGAAACGAGGGCUAAUACCGGAUACACUUUUCUGAGGACAUCCUCGGGAAAGGAAAGGCGGCCUCUGAAGAUGCUGCCGAUAAGGGAUGGACCCGCGUCUGAUUAGCUGGUUGGUGGGGUAAAGGCCUACCAAGGCGACGAUCAGUAGCCGGCCUGAGAGGGUGAACGGCCACACUGGGACUGAGACACGGCCCAGACUCCUACGGGAGGCAGCAGUGGGGGAUCUUCCGCAAUGGACGAAAGUCUGACGGAGCAACGCCGCGUGUAUGACGAAGGCCUUCGGGUUGUAAAGUACUGUCUUUAGGGACGAACGGUAUCUAUGUGAACAAUGUAGGUACAUGACGGUACCUAAGGAGGAAGCCCCGGCUAACUACGUGCCAGCAGCCGCGGUAAUACGUAGGGGGCGAGCGUUGUCCGGAAUCAUUGGGCGUAAAGGGCGCGUAGGCGGAUUUUUAAGUCUGGUGUGAAAACUUGGGGCUCAACCCCAAGCCUGCAUCG